GGGAACUGAGUAAUCUCCUGAGAUGUUCACUGAGAUCAGCUUCUAGGUUACAGAUUUCUGAAGUUGGACGGACGGAUCUUCAUCUCGGCGAACUCGAUGGAGUGUUCGUGGCCUUUCCAGUGGAACCAGUUCACACCCUGAGGAAAGAAGGACAAUUUGCAGCUGCCUCCACCAGCGCUCCAAAAGCAUCACACAGUUUAUAAAAGGUUGCGUGUCAUUCCAACAUGUUGAAUCUGUUACUACAAUUUCCCCACAACGCAGCAUACAUAGCCGCUCCCAGAGGCUCUUUUCAGCAACGUACCGCCUCACAUCACAUAACACAGCAUCAUCAGCGAACGCGGCUAUCACCACAGCUAACACUUUGAGUGUCUGAGCCGAGCCCUGAGAGGGCUGCACUCACUGCUGGUGAAGACGGUAGAGAUGACUUGGCUCCUCUUGGGACCAGCGAGAGCUUCCAACUUCACUGAAUAUUCUGUCGAUGCGCUGAGGUCGGCCAUG